CUACGGAGGGUCCGAGCGUUAUCCGGAAUCAUUGGGUUUAAAGGGUCCGUAGGCGGGAAUCUAAGUCAGUGGUGAAAUCUUGCAGCUCAACUGUAAAAUUGCCAUUGAUACUGGAUUUCUUGAAUUAGUGUGAAGUGGUUAGAAUGUGUAGUGUAGCGGUGAAAUGCAUAGAUAUUACACAGAAUACCAAUUGCGAAGGCAGAUCACUAACACUAUAUUGACGCUAAGGGACGAAAGCGUGGGGAGCGAACAGGAGUAGAAACCCCAGUAGUCC
rnacentral:rRNA from 1 species